GGAAGAGAGAGGCUGAAGUCAUAGCAGCCAUCUUGAGACCAUCGUGGGCAGACUGUCUGGGAAUGGAACUAUGCCAGAGUAAGGAAAGAUAAGAACUGGAGAGAGAAAUACCGUGGCCUGACACCCCCUCUAGAGCACAUGAAUCAAGCUGUACUUGAAGCUGGUAUUCCCUCAGAAUUUUCUGAGGAGAAAAGGAAUUGUACUCAACCUUGCAUUUGCCAGGCAGACACUGUGCUGCUCAGCUAUAUCCCCAGCCUGUGAUCUUGAAGACUGCAUCUAGUCCUUGGCCUCUGGCCUUUUCCUGUCUGGCUCUUCUCUGUCUCUUUGCUUCCUGGAUGCCAUGAGGUGAGCAGAUUUUUUUUGUCACUCUCUUCUACCGUGCUGUUUCUACUUGGGAACCAGC
rnacentral:lncRNA from 1 species